CAGCCGCCGCGGUAACACAGAGGGUGCGAGCGUUAAUCGGAUUUACUGGGCGUAAAGCGUGCGUAGGCGGCUUCUUAAGUCGGAUGUGAAAUCCCUGAGCUUAACUUAGGAAUUGCAUUCGAUACUGGGAAGCUAGAGUAUGGGAGAGGAUGGUAGAAUUCCAGGUGUAGCGGUGAAAUGCGUAGAGAUCUGGAGGAAUACCGAUGGCGAAGGCAGCCAUCUGGCCUAAUACUGACGCUGAGGUACGAAAGCAUGGGGAGCAAACAGGAUUAGAUACCCCAGUAGUCCCUGUCUCUUAUAC
rnacentral:rRNA from 1 species